CCUGAUGUGUUAUGCACUCAGACGGCCACCGACCGUCUAGCUUCGUAUGGGGAGGAGAUGGUUCAACGCCAUGGGCAGGAGUACGAUUGGAGGAGCCAGCCAAUCGACCCUCAGGCAGCAUAUGCUAGCGGAGGAGGACAAGCCCACGGACGGUUGGGUAUUUUUGAUUCUACGAUUGAUUCCAGAGAGCUAAGACGCCGUGGACGACAGUCCACAUCGUCGUCUUCACAGUCGUCCCGUUCACGAUCAUCCGCCCACGACAUGGAGAUGGCAGUGUUGCGUCAACAGGCAGAGUACCAUCAAUCAGUCUUGAGGGAACAAUUGGAGUACCAGAGGCAACAAUCUGAGUACCAGAGGCAACAAGCCGA